AAUAUCAAAGGGCAAACCGGUGGAAAUGCCGGGACGCAAAAACAUAGGACCUAAGCUGAGCAUACAGUAUGGUAGCCGAUUGCACUG
rnacentral:ncRNA from 2 species